rnacentral:lncRNA from 1 species
UUAUUGACUAGUAAUUUAGGAACGUGCCCAACUGCCAGAUUUAAUGUUUCGUGAACUGCUCUUGUUGCAACUGAGCGUGUGAUCCUGGAGCAUUAGGUAUGCUUUAGAGGAUGCACUCACAGGCUGCACGUUUUAAAAACCGGAGUGUACUAUUGACCGCAAACUCUGUUAAUUCGUUUAUGGAAUCUGUGUAAACCCCUUCCGAAAAAUAAGCACUCCAGGAUGUGUACCUGUUAACUCUGGUCUUAAAUGGGAAGGCAUUUAUUGACUAGUAAAUUAGGAACGUGCCAAACUGCCACUAGGAGAAUAUGCUUACACAGUUAUGCAUUACGUAAAAAGAAGUCGAGAACACAAUGAAGAGUGGGCUUGUACCACACAAAUCUAAUAAUAGUCAACUCCAGCUAGUUGACUUUGCAAUGAUAUAUUAGUGGUCCUGAGGUUAUCAAAUUGAAAUUUAUUGUUAAGAGGGUAGGUAGAACUGUUUCAUGGUAUGCUCGGAAUCAACAGUUUGUAUUGUAAUCUGUGACUGUACCUUUUGAUGCCUGGCCAAGCAUGUAUAUGCAACACGUUUUGUGUAUGGUAUAUGAAAGUUCUACUGGAU